rnacentral:rRNA from 1 species
GGAAUUGGGCAGCUAUACAUGCAGUCGAGCGAGCUGAACCAACAGAUUCACUUCGGUGAUGACGUUGGGAACGCGAGCGGCGGAUGGGUGAGUAACACGUGGGGAACCUGCCCCAUAGUCUGGGAUACCACUUGGAAACAGGUGCUAAUACCGGAUAAGAAAGCAGAUCGCAUGAUCAGCUUAUAAAAGGCGGCGUAAGCUGUCGCUAUGGGAUGGCCCCGCGGUGCAUUAGCUAGUUGGUAGGGUAACGGCCUACCAAGGCAAUGAUGCAUAGCCGAGUUGAGAGACUGAUCGGCCACAUUGGGACUGAGACACGGCCCAAACUCCUACGGGAGGCAGCAGUAGGGAAUCUUCCACAAUGGACGAAAGUCUGAUGGAGCAACGCCGCGUGAGUGAAGAAGGUUUUCGGAUCGUAAAGCUCUGUUGUUGGUGAAGAAGGAUAGAGGUAGUAACUGGCCUUUAUUUGACGGUAAUCAACCAGAAAGUCACGGCUAACUACGUGCCAGCAGCCGCGGUAAUACGUAGGUGGCAAGCGUUGUCCGGAUUUAUUGGGCGUAAAGCGAGCGCAGGCGGAAGAAUAAGUCUGAUGUGAAAGCCCUCGGCUUAACCGAGGAACUGCAUCGGAAACUGUUUUUCUUGAGUGCAGAAGAGGAGAGUGGAACUCCAUGUGUAGCGGUGGAAUGCGUAGAUAUAUGGAAGAACACCAGUGGCGAAGGCGGCUCUCUGGUCUGCAACUGACGCUGAGGCUCGAAAGCAUGGGUAGCGAACAGGAUUAGAUACCCUGGUAGUCCAUGCCGUAAACGAUGAGUGCUAAGUGUUGGGAGGUUUCCGCCUCUCAGUGCUGCAGCUAACGCAUUAAGCACUCCGCCUGGGGAGUACGACCGCAAGGGUUGAAACUCAAAGGAAUUGACGGGGGCCCGCACAAGCGGUGGAGCAUGUGGUUUAAUUCGAAGCAACGCGAAGAACCUUACCAGGUCUUGACAUCUAGUGCAAUCCGUAGAGAUACGGAGUUCCCUUCGGGGACACUAAGACAGGUGCUGCAUGCCUGUCGUCAGCUCGUGUCGUGAGAUGUUGGGAUUAGUCCCGCACGAGCCGCAACCUGUCAUAGCUGCCAGCAUUAAGUUGGGUACUCUAUGAGACUGCGGUGACAACCGCAGACGUGGGAUGACGUCCAGUCAUCAUGCCCUAUGACCUGGCUUACCACGCACUACAUGGACAGUUACACCAGGGAGCAAGGCCUCGGCCAGAGAGGCC